AAGGUUAGAGGGAACCAGAUGGUAAAGCUCGGAACCUAAAAUUUUUCCCUCCUUUUGUUCCCCCCUCCCCCCACUCUUCCCGGACGCACAGCCCUCCUCCCCCACAACGCCACUCUCUCUGCACGACUCCUCUGUGACCGCCACUUGCCACCGCGCCAGCCCCUCGCCGUCCGUCCAGGUUCGUGCCGUGCCGUGCCGCGCCUACGUCACACCGUGGCCACCGCCGGCAGGCCCUUACGCCUCCAUCCCGCCGUGCACCACUAGAUCUGUUUGAACGACGCCAGCAACCUCACGCCCUUUCUGUUUGAAACCGCGACGGACCAAAGGCCACCGUAGACAGCCUCUCACCGCCAAGGACAUUGGAAUCAGCCCUAGACAGCGGCGUCUCGCUCUCUAAAUUUUGACGGUCCAUCGCACGAAAUAUAGUAAUUUCGAGUUGUGAUACCGUUAGAGGUCGGACUCAAGGCUUAAAUAAUACACGGCAAGAGUCAAGUAAGCGGUGCUCCUAUGCUAGACUUUGCCUAAAUGGACCGAGGUUAAUUUUAUGAAAAACGUGCAUAUUUUGCUAUGUAAAACUUGAAAAAAACCUUGGUAUGCAUAACUCAAUUGUAUCUGAAUAAGAAGAAAGAUAUUUUGUCAUGACUGGUGUAGAGUCAUACAUGAGCAUUUUUAGCACUCUAUUUCUUAAUUGUAUAAAAAGAAGGAUUUGUCAAAAGAAAAAAAUAUAUAUAAAAAAACGAAUAUGAAAGUUUUAGACAUGAUGAUACGAAUAUGAUUUGUAUUUAUUUUGUGCUCUAUUAUGAAAUGAUAUUGCAUAUGAAAACUCUUUAAGGCAAAAUAUUUUGUUAUGCUCUGAUGUAUGGCCCUGCCACGUGACAUAAUAGUGGUCUCUGGCCCCCAUCAUGGGAUACAAUAGUGGCCUCCGGCCUUGCCAUGGGAUACAAUAGUGGCCUCUGGCCCCGCCAUGAGAUAUAAUAGUAGUCUCUAUUUUGAGUGCAUCACCUUGGUGACAAAACAUUGAUGUGUUAUGCUUGGUUAAAUGCAGACAUGCACAACCCUACCACAAGGGUAAAUAUGCCCUCUUCUUUUGUUUCUUCUGAUGUUUUAGUUAUGCUUGUGCCUAUGGUCUUUUAUAUAUUAUUAUUAUUGUAAUGGAAAGUUUUUGAAAAUACCACUACCAUAUUUUGAGAAAUAUCUGUUUUUGCAUUCUGUAACUGGCACAUGUUUACACACUAUUAUAGGCUCACUGCUUAUUGAGUUGUUGAUAACUCACCCAUUUUCUCCACUAUAUUUUUAGAUGAUUUUCGGGAUGCUGUCCCCAUACACCCGGUGCCAAUAAAAAAAAAAUAUUUUCAGAUGAUUUUGAUGGUUCAGCUGGGAAUCAAGGAUAGGAAGCGUGUGCAAAAUUUAGUUUAGAGGAUUGAGUACCAAAGGGUACUAUGAUUGUUGGGCUUUACCAGUAGAUUUGUCAUGUUAUGUUAAUUGGGUAUUUUGAGAGAUUGACAUUGUUAUUGACAGUUUGUGGAGCUGUUAAUUUAUUUUAUUUGAUUAUUGCAUUGAUGACCUUGUAGAGGAAUAUAUAUAAUUGGAUUAAAUAGAUGAAUUUAUGUUUAUGGAGUCUUUUGGAAUCUAUAUGUAUUGUGGGAGACAAUUUUCUAGGUGACAGGAAGUGACUCCCUAAUGCUCCGGGUAUGGGGCAUUACAUUUAGCCUCUUAACCAUAGUUAAACUCAUGGCUUUUGUAUUUUUGCCUACUGGAAGUUUGGGCUGUCCCUGUUUUAUAUGUUGUAUGUUGAGAUUUGUAGUUGAGUGAUUUCAUGUUUGGUUGACGUAUGGAGGGUCUCGUGUUUAUAAUGUCAUGGUCAUAGGAGGGAAUGAAUGUGAAAAUGUGAGUUGGUGUUCUGAUGUGUCGGGAGUAUGGUUGUAAAUUGAGACGUGUGUUGGGGUGAGAUUUAAGCAAAUCCAAGAAGAUUGGGUUAGCCUAUUGGUGGAGUAGUGCAUGGAUGUUGUACUUGGCCAUUAUAAACCCAAGGCACCAGAAUGGACUAUUUUGUUUAUGGGCUCACUUUGAGCUAUAGUUUUGGGCUAUAGAGUUUUAUUAGUUUGUUGGUUUUGUAUUUGUAGAAGUUAUUAAUAUGUUAGCGAUAUCUUUCUGAAUUAGGUUGUGAAAAUAAUUGGUGCUCCUAUGCUAGACUUUGCCUAAAACUGACUAAUGUUGAUUUACUGAAAACUUGCAUAAUUUAUUGUGAAAUCAACCUUGAUUAUUUUUCUGCACUAGUAUCUGUAUUUGAACAUUGAAAUGUGAUAUUUUAUCAUGAUUGGUGUAGACAUGAGCACUUUUUUGUACUUUGUUUCUCUACUGCAUAAAAUGUGAAUAUGAAGUCUGAAAUAUUUGAUCCAAUUAUAUGAUAUUUAUCAGCUCAGCACAAUGUUAUGAUAUGAUAUUGCAAAUGAAAACCCUGAGGCAUAGGAUUUUGUCUGCUUUGGUUAUAGGCCCUGCCACGGGUAAUAAUACGGUUUUCUGGGUCAAGGGCAGAAGGAGAAGAGGAUGAAAGUCAAGCUCUUACGUAUCUUUCCCAUGAUAUUGUAUUCUGUUGUUUUGUUUUAUUUGCAUUUUCAUUGAAUGUCUAUUGGACUUGAUGAAUUCCCUGCAUGGUUUAUGGUUGGUAAUUUAUGGGCUUCGAUGAUUAUUGGAUUUACUGGAUUAUGCUUCAUUUAUGCCUAGGAAGUUCAAAUUCAUUCUGUUUGAGUUAUGAUCAUAUUACAAAUUCCCAUUGAUCCUCUAAUCCAAGUUCAGAUUUUGGAAAAACCUAGUAUUUUUCUUUUUUCUUUUGGCUGUUGAAUGGGAAAGAUAACACCCAUUUUCACUGUAGCUCAGAAUACCCAUUUUCCCUUUUUGUUUCAAUGGCUCAAGGUGGGAAGCUAGAAGUCAACUAUAUUGGUAGAACUUUAUUGAUAAAAACUUCACCACAUUGUUAAUUCUUUUGGAAAAAACUUUGUAUUUUCCCUUUUUCUUUUGGCUGUUGAAUUGGAAAGAUACCACCUGUUUU